CUGGGGUUCAGUCUGCCGCUGCAAAUACCAAAAGCUGUCCUCAUUGAGUCAUCCCUCCCAGAGCAGGAAGAGCAGAGGUUCUGGGAAACAACCCCAAGGAGAGAGACAGGGCAUUUAUAAAACAGCAUGUAAGCAUCUCUGCAGUUGCUGUCCCCAGAGCCCACUUCCUGGAUAUUGCCAGCUGCCUGGACCAACCUUUCCGAAAGAUCAGCCAGGUCACAGUGAGGGUCAAAGCAGGAGGCCACUGGAGGCUCCAAGGGCUCUGAAAUGUUGAGAACUUCCCUGCAGGUACCAGCGAAGAGGGCAAGAACACAGCACUACUUCCUUGGAUACUGUUUCCCUCCUCAGAGGGGUUUUCUGAGCUGCCCUGGGUCCUGUGAGGAAGAUCUCCCCUUCCUGUAAAGACACCAGUCCUACUGGAUCAGGGCCCACCCGUGUGACUUCACUUUUACUUGAGUACCUCUCACAGACCCUAACUCCAAAUCAGGUCACUUGCUGAGGUACUGCAUGUGAAGACUUUGACAUUUGAAUUUUGAGGGGGCCACCGUUUAACCUGAACCACCAAGGACAGAGCCAAAGACCCUGGGUGACAGGCCCAGAACAGGACCUGGUGGAGGCUCUUCUUUAGGGGAGAGAGGGAAAUGGGAGCCACCACUGGCAGAGCCUGAAGGCAGGGCAGCCAGAAAGAAGCUGUGGGAGUCCCCACCAUGGAAGACCCUGCCGAGCAUCCUGUGUCUCCUGAAGCAGACCCUGACAUGAGGACUGGGGGCACGUGUUUAUUAAGGGCGAUCCCCGGAAGGAGGAGAUAACCAGGCAGAAGUCCUAGCAGAGUAUGCCCACGCUGGUUAGUGCUGCUGCAAAGAUGAGCCGAAGACCAUGAGAGACCUCCAGGUGGUCCUUCUGGGGAGAAGAAAUGGGUUUUGGCCCCAAAUCCUUCUGCUGCAUUUUUCCCCUAUCCCUGGGAAGCCAUGAGACCUCAAACCUGUGUUCCCAAGGAGGCGAGCUGCUGUUCCCAGGUGAUGAUAUGAUGUGCUUGGGGAAAGUAAGUGGCUGCCAGACAUGGCUGAGAGCUGUUGUCACUGCCGUCAAGUGCAUGUCUCCAAGCCAUAUCACACGGCGUCCCUCGAUGUGAGGCCACAUGGCAAGUGGGCCGUGGAUCUCCCUCUGCCCUUUGCAAGCACGUAAGACAGCAGAUUUUGCAGAUACCUUGUGGCGCAGGGGAAUUUCCUUUGGCCAGGUCUGAAGAAAUAAAGCAGCAGGCACCGAGAACAAAGCCAAGGCUUUCAAAAGACAAGGAGCCAAAAAACUUACUCAAAAUAAAAGUAGUUU
rnacentral:lncRNA from 1 species